ensembl:lncRNA LINC-PINT long intergenic non-protein coding RNA, p53 induced transcript
AAAGCAUUAGGGGAGCCCACGGCUACAAAAACAAGUGAGUGAGAAGAGGUGGGAGGAAGAGAAACUACGCCACCUCCCCUGCAGCCGAGUGCACGCAGCAGCCUGGCGUGACAAGUGGGCGACGCCGGGGGGCAGGGAGCCGGGGUCCUUGGCCCUGGCCGGGGACCCCACCGCCCACCGCGCGGAGGACAACUUUUAGCCGGCAGCCCAGACCAGCGCGGCACCUGUCUCCGGAGUCUCCACCGCUCCUCCCGAUUCAUCCCAGGGAAAUUCUCAAGAAUACGCUCUACAAAUCUACGUGCGCAUCAUUUUCACCUCGCGUCGCGCCCGGGAGGAAGGAACGAGGCAAGGAGCUAAAGCAGCGUGCGUUCAGCCCUGGGGAGAAAAAUCAAGACGUUCCCUUCAGUCCUCCCUCGGUGUUAACGUCUGCUCCAGCUCGCAGCCCGCUGCUGGGCAUUUUAUUAAUGCUUUUACGAGUUAGAAGAGUUGGGAUAAUUUGCCAUCUGGAGUUUCUCUGCCUUGCUGAUCUGAGCUCAGACCUGCCAAUUUACCAGAGAUAAUUGAUAACACCCUGUAACAGCUGAGAGGAAAAUGGAAGAAACGGAGAUACUUUUAGUGAAGCAGAAUAAACCACUGAACAGCGUUGGCUGAAAAACAUAAGGGAAAAAUGAGGAAGCUGUGAGUACCAGUGGAAGGAACGAGCCAGGAAGAGGGACUGGAACCAUCUCAGAAGCCAUGCCCCUCAGGCUGGAACUUGCCCUGUCUCCUCGCAGAUGAGGUAGGAGGCUCAGCACGGGCUGGUGGGAGCAGCCCACAGCAGCAGUGAGGGUCAGUGGGCCUGUGAGUUAAGAAGAAGGUGGCACAGAGCGAGGGUCUCUGGAUCCUGACUGUUUGACUUUUCCAUGAUUAGGAUAAGUAGCCAGGGCUUGGCUAGUUGGAGAGUUACUCGAACCUCAGGUGACAGUUGUAAGGCAGCACAUAGUGAAAAAGAGUCCUAGCCUGGGAAAGUCCAAAACCUUAGGUCUGGUUUCAGUUCACUCACCUAUCUCUGUGACAUAGCAAAGUCUGUUAAUUUCUCUAAUUUUCUGAUUAGUAGUAUAGUUGCAGGAAUGAAAUAAAAAUGGUCCUGAUUACUCAGAGAUUCAUUUACUGAUUACUCUUUUUGUGACCUGAAUAAAGAGUACAACAUCUCUCAAAAGGUAACAAUAUGAUGUUUCAGGAAAUUAGAGAAGUUAAGAGACUUUGCUGUAUUUACUAUACAGAUAGUUGACUGACAGCUGAGCCCGGACCCAAGAUUCAUUUAUAAAAUGAAGGAGUUGAGAAGUACAUACUCUGAGGUUUAUCCUAAAUAAACUGAAGUCUAGGCAAGUGGCUGAGCUAGGUUUGCCAUGAAUCAAUCUGCUGAGUAUAUUUCUUGGUAACUAGUUCAUCUUUCCUUAAUUCAGUCAACAAAUAUGAUAUCAAGUUUAGUAAGAUGAUGACAGUUGUCAUGUAAUACUCCAUCUGGAAGAUUGUAUGCUUCUCAGCUUCCCUAACUUUUCUUAAUCUACCUUAAGCUUCCUUUCUGAAAGGUUUCUGUCUUUCCUAACAGUCUCUUCUUUCCGCCAGCUACCUCUUGUGUUUAAGAAUUAAAGGAAGAUGAGCUAGGAAUCAAGAAAUACGCAGAACUGAUUCCUGUCACUGGCGCCACCCUGCCACUUGCCCAGAGCUGUGGUAUAAAUUUUUUUAAUAGGCUGAAAUAAAAAUAUGAAUAGCAUUUUGGUAUUAAGCAUUAAAUUGAUAAAGGCUAUGAGAUACACCUGCUCUCAACCAUGUUAAUUUUUUAUUAUUGGUAUUAAUAAAUUAUUACUUACUAACAUAUUAACAAGAAUUGCAUUGAGAAACAAAGCAUCCACAGGCCAAAUCUUCUGAAUUUCAAAUGUUUAUAUUAAUGCGUUGUAUUCUAGAAAAGUAGAAUUGUCUUAAGUAGCUUUGUAAUAUAAAGUCAUCUAUCAGCCCAUUACACCUAUUAGAAUGUUUUAACCUUUAUUUCCCACUUUUUUGUUUCUAGACUGAGUGUACUUGGUCUGGUAUUUGUGGCAUAACUUACGGAACACAUAAGAAUGAUACAGAUACUAUUUAAUGAUGACCUAAUACAAGCUUAGAUAGCUAAGGUGAAAGCUUCUAUGGCCUUAACAUUUUCCUCUUGAAGAAUGUAUUUUCUGU